rnacentral:rRNA from 1 species
CAAUGGAGAGUUUGAUCCUGGCUCAGGACUAACGCUGGCGGCGUGCCUAACACAUGCAAGUCCGAGGAGAACGGGAUUCUUCGGAGUCCCUAGUAAACUGGCGCAAGGGUGAGUAACACGUAGGUAACCUGCCCUACAGUGGGGGAUAACACUGGGAAACCGGUGCUAAUACCGCAUGACAUCCAGAGAUCGCAUGGUCUUUGGAUUAAAGAAAUCCCUGGAAACAGGGUAUCGCUGUAGGAGGGGCCUGCGGCCUAUUAGCUAGUUGGUAGGGUAACGGCCUACCAAGGCGAUGAUGGGUAGCUGGUCUGAGAGGAUGGUCAGCCACACUGGCACUGAGACACGGGCCAGACUCCUACGGGAGGCAGCAGUGAGGAAUUUUGGGCAAUGGGCGAAAGCCUGACCCAGCAACGCCGCGUGGGUGAUGACGUUCUGCGGAACGUAAAACCCUGUUGGAGGGGAUGAAAUUUCUGCAUCGCAGGAAUUGACAGUACCCUCAAAGAAAGCUCCGGCCAACUCCGUGCCAGCAGCCGCGGUAAUACGGGGGGAGCGAGCGUUGUCCGGAUUCACUGGGCGUAAAGCGCGUGUAGGCGGGUUGGUAAGUCAGUGGUGAAAGCCCUCAGCUUAACUGAGGAAUUGCUGCUGAUACUGCCAAUCUUGAGUGUGGAAGAGGGAAGCGGAAUUCCUGGUGUAGCGGUGAAAUGCGUAGAUAUCAGGAAGAACACCGGUAGCGAAGGCGGCUUCCUGGUCCAUUACUGACGCUGAAACGCGAAAGCGUGGGGAGCAAACAGGAUUAGAUACCCUGGUAGUCCACGCCGUAAACGAUGGGUACUAGGUGUUGCAAGGUGAAUCCUUGCAGUGCCGAAGCUAACGCAUUAAGUACCCCGCCUGGGGAGUACGACGGCAACGUUGAAACUCAAAGGAAUUGACGGGGGCCCGCACAAGCGGUGGAGCAUGUGGUUUAAUUCGAUGCAACGCGAAGAACCUUACCUGGGCUUGAACUGCAGCGGACAGUCCGUGAAAGCGGACCUUCCUUCGGGACUGCUGCAGAGGUGCUGCAUGGCUGUCGUCAGCUCGUGUCGUGAGAUGUUGGGUUAAGUCCCGCAACGAGCGCAACCCCUGUCCUUAGUUGCGACCAGGUAAUGCUGAGCACUCUAAGGAGACUGCCCCGGAUAACGGGGAGGAAGGUGGGGAUGACGUCAAGUCCUCAUGGCCCUUAUGUCCAGGGCUACACACGUGCUACAAUGGCCGGUACAAUGGGUUGCAAAACCGCGAGGUGGAGCCAAUCCCCAAAACCGGUCUCAGUUCAGAUUGGAGUCUGCAACUCGACUCCAUGAAGGCGGAAUCGCUAGUAAUCGCUGAUCAGCAGGCAGCGGUGAAUACGUUCCCGGGCCUUGUACACACCGCCCGUCACGCCAUGAAAGUCGGGAGUACCAGAAGCCGGUGGCCCAACCCGCAAGGGAGGGAGCCGUCGAAGGUAAGACCGAUGAUUGGGGCGAAGUCGUAACAAGGUAGCCGUACCGGAAGGUGCGGCUGGAUCACCUCCUUUCUAAGGAG